CUGAUCCUGUACACGGCCUCCUCAGCUGCAGGAGUUGUUGCAGUAUUCUGUAUUAUCCUCUGCACUGUGUGGAUUCACAGAAAAUGCAAAACAAGAACCAGGAAAAAUGAAGUUGAGCUUCAGCAGCCACAUGGAAGAAGAAUGGACAACGUUCAGGACAGACAAUAUUUUGAGAGAUUUAAUUCUUUAUAUGGACAAAUUGUCUCAUGAAUCCGGAACAGACUCCUCAGGCUCUUCUGGAAAGACCCUACACUAAAUGUUUCGUCAUUGCUCUGAUGAUUCGAGUUCAUUCAGGCAUGAGGUCCUUAGUGAGGUCAGGUUCUGAUUUUGGAUUCAUCAGUUCCACCACCCAAAGUACUGAAUGGAGCUCCAUCAUUUCAGAGAACACAGUUCCUCUGACCAGCAGCUCAAUGCUGGGGCCUUUUACCCCAGCGUACUCCACUGGACACUCUGCAUUGGACACGGUGAAUUUUCGCUGAAGUGCAGCAGCUUCUCCAGGGCUUUUCACUGUAGUGCCACAACUUUUUAAUGGAGAAUGUACAGCCUGUGUUAGCACCUUAAAGUAGCUGAAGAUGUAAUGUUGGACAUAUAUAGACACAUGCAUACAUGUAUUUAAAUUAUGUUUAUCUGUACUCAUUAAAGCAUCUCCUCUUCUGUACGUGGGGGACUGCUUUCCAGCAGGUUUCAUAUCAUGUAAAUGUAAUCUGAUGCACUUGAACUGUUUGAUUGUUUAAUGCAGAUUGAAUGCACUUUUUGCAAUGAACCAGCACCACCAAGAAACAUUAAAUCCAGAUGUCUGGUAAAAAAAAAA